rnacentral:rRNA from 1 species
AACAGAAAUCAACCGAGAUUCCGGAAGUAGCGGCGAGCGAAACCGGACCAGCCCUUAAGCUUAUUAUGUGUUAGUGGAACAUUCUGGAAAGUUUGACGAUACAGGGUGAUAGUCCCGUACACGAAAACGCAUCUUAAGUGAAAUCGAGUAGGUCGGAGCACGUGAAACUUUGACUGAAUAUAGGUGGACCAUCAUCUAAGGCUAAAUACUCCCAACUGACCGAUAGUGAACCAGUACCGUGAGGGAAAGGCGAAA